CCGCCGUGACCCCGAGAAGGACGGGGACGGGGGUACGGUCCCGCCGGACCCUGAGGGGAAGCGCCCGCCGCGGCCCCCACUCACCCCGCGCGCCGCCACCACCGCAUCCCCUCCGCGCCGCUUCCGGGAGCGCAGCCAGUUCAAAACAACGCCCGCCCCUAUUGGCUCCGGGCGCCCCGCCCUCCCGAGCGCUAUUGGGGGGCGGCUCCCCCGCCUCUCCUCCUCAAGCUGUGAUUGGCUGGCUCGGACACAGGUGCCCGCUUGGCACCGCCCUCUCCCCGUCCCCGCGCCGCCAUGAGGGGGGGCCGCCAUAAGGGGGCCGCGGCCUCCUGCCCCCGGUGCAUCCCGGGGGCUGCCGUCGGGCCUGAGGAGGGGCUGCCCCGCCGUGUCUGGAGAGAGGAGGCGGUGCUGGAGGCCCGGCCCCUCCGCCGCAGCCCAGCGUCCCUGUCCCUCACAGAGGCCGGGAGAAGCCGUCUGUGGAUGAUGGCAUCACGAGGGCUUUUGAGAUCUACUGGUGAAAAUUGCUGUACUCAUCGCUGUGACCAAAAGAUUAUUUAGGUCCUGCACUUGCUACCCAGAGAAGCCUCAGGAGCGGGGUCUGUGUGCCUUCAGCAGGAGUCACGGCCGGGGGAAGAAGAGAACUCUCCAUAGGCUUAAAACUCAAUGGUGCUAGUUUUUACCGAUUGUUAGUCGUUUCGUUAUCUUUAAUACACACGGGAAGUUGGAAUAACUUCAGAGUCAUUUAAAUACGGGGUUUUUUUUUGAGGCUUCCCAGCAGCAGCCGCCGCGAGGGUCCGUGAGCGCCGGGUUCGGUGCCCGUUCUGACCCGUCCUCCUCUCCCCUGGCUCUGCGCUCUGCUCUGCCCGAGCCAGCUCGGUUACUGCUGGCCCUCGGGCACCCUCUCCCCGGGGAGCAGCGUGCGGCUCCCGU
rnacentral:lncRNA from 1 species